CUUCGCUUGGAAUGAAUUUUCUACAAAUUGUGGGACGGUUUGGAGGGUAACCAGCAUAGGCAUAUUGGCCGAAUGCUACUGAUGCAUGAAGGGCUGAUGAAGUCCAUAUAAGAGUGGUGAGAGCCUCAAUGAGCUCUUCAUCCGACUGGAUAUGGCCAUCUUGUUUGUAAAACACGGAGCAGAAAUCAGUAACCCACAUCUUGAUAGCAAUCCAUAUAUCAAGUCCAUCUUCACCAUAGGGGUAAUCGUGGAAGAUCAGCUUAACACCGGUUGGGCUCUCUAGAUCUUCUAUAGCCAUGCCUCUGAAAAAUUCUUGGCGGAUAAUGAUCUGUGUUUGAACAUGCUAAUAUAUAUUCUAAACUAUUUAUUAGUUAGAUACCAUGCUAUGUGGGGAAUAAAUGACGAACUAGGUUGUUAUUAUGAUUGUUAUGUUAUAAAUGGAACAUCCCCAGUGCUCAGUUCACUCUUGUAGUAGAUCUUCAUGUCUAGUCAAAGUACUUUACUCUCUCCAUUCUGUUAAUUACAAAAAACGUAUUAUUGAUUUGAUCUGUUGUUCUCAA